rnacentral:rRNA from 1 species
AGCAGCCGCGGUAAUUCCAGCUCCAAUAGCGUAUAUUAAAGUUGUUGCAGUUAAAAAGCUCGUAGUUGAAUUUCAGGCCUGGCUGGACGGUCCGCCCUUCGGGUGAGUACUGUCUGUGGUCGGGUCCUACCUUCUGGCGAAGCGUCAUGGCCUUAACCGGCUGUGGCGGGGAACCAGGACUUUUACUGUGAAAAAAUUAGAGUGUUCAAAGCAGGCAAUCGCUUGGAUACAUCAGCAUGGAAUAAUGGAAUAGGACAAUGGUUCUAUUUGUUGGUUUCUAGGACCGUUGUAAUGAUUAAUAGGGAUAGUUGGGGGCAUUAGUAUUCAAUUGUCAGAGGUGAAAUUCUUGGAUUUAUUGAAGACUAACUACUGCGAAAGCAUUUGCCAAGGAUGUUUUCAUUAAUCAAGAACGAAAGUUAGGGGAUCGAAGACGAUCAGAUACCGUCGUAGUCUUAACCAUAAACUAUGCCGUCUAGGAAUCGGGCGAUGUUGAAAAAAUGACGC